GUUGAUGGCGUUGAAUUUGUUUUCCAUAGUUGCAGGCAAUGCUGAAGUUGAUGCUUUGAAUGCCUUAAAGAUCAAUUUGGGUAACUCUAGUGACGUAUUUCAAAGUUGGAACGCAACCAAUGAAAACCCUUGCCAAUGGUUUUAUAUUACAUGUGACAGCGAAAAUAGUGUGACAAGAAUUGAUAUUCAGAAUGCCAAUCUUUCUGGUCAAUUGGUUCUACAGCUUGGUCAGCUUACGAAUUUGCAAUACUUG